AAAAGAUUUUUAAUUUUCUUUAUUAUUCUUUGUUUUUAAAGGAAGACAAAAGGCAAGUAAGAGUAUGUUACAUAAAGUUAAGCAUUUUUGAGACCGGUUUUUAGUUUUUUCUCUCUUCUUGUACAGGCACGAGUACAAACACUAACAUAACCCGUAUUACCGAAAUGAAGGAAAUCGUCGAAAUGAAGGAAGAAAAAAUGGGAAAACAAAAAGCAUGAAAAGCAGUAAUUCUUGAUCUGCCGAAUGAUAAGCAUCACAAACAUACCUUUCGAAAAGACAAGCGACUAAAAAUAAAAAAACAAGUUAGUCAGCUAUAUUAGCCUUGAAGCGAAUCUUGAAUACCUGUCGCCUAAGGGCAAUUUUCACAUUUCAUCUAUGGGUACAAAAAUUUCAACCUCUACCAUUUUUAAGAUAGCGAGUCUCAACAGCUUGAAGUUUAAUAAGGUGCGUUACGGAUCUUAUGUAUUUCAAUAAUAUCUUGGCCUUAGGCUUAAAUCUAAAAAAAAAAAAAAAAAAAAAAAAAAAAAAUAACGCACAAAUUGCGUAGGCAUUCUGAUCGUACCUCCCUUAUAAGAUAUGCGAACACGUGGAUAGAUUCUGUGCGCAACAGGCUUAUUUCAUUGUAACUUUUUCAUCAUGAAAUACCAAAAACUAUAAUUUGCUGUCGUAUAAGAGACUUACUUUUCAUGAAAAUUUCUUCUAUGGAGAAGGUUCCGCAUAUACUCUAACCUUACUAGAGUCAACUUGUGCGUCAAAUCAUAACUUUUAUGCCAUUUUCGUCUUGUUGCCUAUUAAAUGAUCAAUUUUCGUAAGAAAGCUUAUAAAAAAUGGAUUUUAACGAAUUGUCUCAUCGUCUUCGUAUGUUGUUCAUCUACUUAGUUUGGGAAAAUUCCAUUUUUAUCAUUGUGGCGCGUCAUAUAUACAUAAAGGUCGUAGUCCGAUCUAACUCAUUUUGACGAGAAUUUAAUUUUGGGGCCAAACACAUUUCAUUGCAAUAUCUUGUAAACUAAAGUAAAGUGAACGCAUGUAUGCGUGGACAGGCAUUAUAGGGACGGACUUAAAAUGACGAUUCAGAAAAUGAUUCUGAAUGAUCGGUAAAAGGAAAAAUGAAUUUAUCCCCAUAAAUUCUUCUGGGCAUCGCAUACAUUCGCACAAACUUAAUAUACGAACCGCGAGCUGAUGCCCUACUAGUGUAAAAAAAAAAACAAUUAAAGUAGAACUUAAAAUAGCAUAAGUAGUUCCUAGGCGCUUGUGAAGGUCAAUUGUAAAUGAAAAGC